GAUGAACCCUAGCGGCAGGCUUAACACAUGCAAGUCGCGGGGCAGCGGGGGAUGAGCUUGCUCAUCCCGCCGGCGACCGGCGCACGGGUGAGUAACACGUAUGCAACCUGCCCCUGUCAGGGGGACAACCCACCGAAAGGUGGGCUAAACCCGCGUACAUCCGGAGGGGGCAUCCCCUUGGGAGGAAAGGAGCGAUCCGGACAGGGAUGGGCAUGCGGCGCAUUGGAUAGUUGGUGGGGCAACGGCCCACCAAGCCGACGAUGCGUAGGGGUUCUGAGAGGAAGGUCCCCACAUUGGAACUGAGACACGGUCCAAACUCCUACGGGAGGCAGCAGUGAGGAAUAUUGGUCAAUGGCCGGAAGGCUGAACCAGCCAAGUCGCGUGAGGGAAUAAGGCCCUACGGGUCGUAAACCUCUUUUGCCAGGGAGCAAUGCCGUCCACGUGUGGACGGAAGGAGAGUACCUGGAGAAAAAGCAUCGGCUAACUCCGUGCCAGCAGCCGCGGUAAUACGGAGGAUGCGAGCGUUAUCCGGAUUUAUUGGGUUUAAAGGGUGCGUAGGCGGCCUGCCAAGUCAGCGGUAAAAUUGCGGGGCUCAACCCCGUACAGCCGUUGAAACUGCCGGGCUCGAGUGGGCGAGAAGUAUGCGGAAUGCGUGGUGUAGCGGUGAAAUGCAUAGAUAUCACGCAGAACCCCGAUUGCGAAGGCAGCAUACCGGCGCCCGACUGACGCUGAGGCACGAAAGUGCGGGGAUCAAACAGGAUUAGAUACCCUGGUAGUCCGCACAGUAAACGAUGAAUGCUAGCUGUCCGGGGGGGAUUGACCCCUGGGUGGCACAGCGAAAGCGUUAAGCAUUCCACCUGGGGAGUACGCCGGCAACGGUGAAACUCAAGGGAAUUGACGGGGACCCGCACAAGCGGUGGAGCAUGUGGUUUAAUUCGAAGCAACGCGAAGAACCUUACCUGGUCUUGACAUCCCGAUGACGAGUGAGCAAAGUCACUUUCCCUUCGGGGCAUUGGAGACAGGUGGUGCAUGGUUGUCGUCAGCUCGUGUCGUGAGAUGUCGGCUUAAGUGCCAUAACGAGCGCAACCCCCGCGGGCAGUUGCUAACAGGUUAAGCUGAGGACUCUGCCCGGACUGCCGGCGCAAGCCGCGAGGAAGGCGGGGAUGACGUCAAAUCAGCACGGCCCUUACGUCCGGGGCGACACACGUGUUACAAUGGGCGGUACAGCGGGAAGCCAGGCGGCGACGCCGAGCGGAACCCGAAAGCCGUUCUCAGUUCGGAUCGGAGUCUGCAACCCGACUCCGUGAAGCUGGAAUCACUAGUAAUCGCGAAUCAGAAUGUCGCGGUGAAUACGUUCCCGGGUCU
rnacentral:rRNA from 1 species